rnacentral:rRNA from 1 species
CCCUUAGAUGUUCUGGGCUGCACGCGUGCUACACUGAUAUUGCCAAUAUGUCAUUCUUAUCCGAAAUGGAUUGGGUAAUCAAGUAAUGAAAUUUCAUGCUUGGAAUCGGUAAUUGCAAUUUUAUCGUGAACGAGGAAUUCCUAGUAAGCACUAGUCAUCAGCUAAUGUUGAUUAUGUCCCUGCCCUUUGUACACACCGCCCGUCGCACCAAUUGAUUGGAUGACUCGAUGAAAAAUCAGGACUGAGAUUUCUUUUGCUUCAUUGCAGAGGAAGUUUUGGGAAUCUUUUUAAAUCUCGUUAUCUAGAGAUUGGUGAAGUCGUAACA